rnacentral:ncRNA from 1 species
UGUCUUCGAGCCUCCGUUCCUAAUGUCACGACUAUGGAGCGGCGGCCGGUCGCCCGGACGACAAAGGGUCGCUUUGGAAACGAAACGGCCUUCCGUAUUUGAAAAGGAGACAGA